UAAGACAGAGGUGCCAAGCGUUAGGCGGAAUCACUGGGCUUAAAGCGUGUGUAGGCGGACUUGUAAGUACCUUGUGAAAUCCCACGGCUCAACCGUGGAACUGCUCGGUAUACUGCUUGUCUUGAGCCACUUAGGGGCUGUCGGAACAAACGGUGGAGCGGUGAAAUGCGUAGAUAUCGUUUGGAACGCCAAUGGUGAAAACAGACAGCUGGGAGUGUGCUGACGCUGAGACACGAAAGCCAGGGGAGCGAACGGGAUUAGAUACCCCGGUAGUCCUGGCCCUAAACGAUGUCGACUAGAUCGUGGCGGCUCUGACGCCGUCACGGUCGAAGCAAAAGUGCUAAGUCGACCGCCUGGGAAGUACGGUCGCAAGGCUA
rnacentral:rRNA from 1 species